AUCCAGCUGACGAGUCCCAAGUAGGACGAAACUCGCGUCCUGGAU
rfam:Schistosoma mansoni, Puerto Rico, WGS project CABG01000000 data, contig: 0122